AGUAGCAAUGGCAUUGACUCUUUUUGUUCGUACAUACAUUUUCCAUGCACCGGUCGACUCGUGUGUUAUUUUCACUCUUCUUUUGCUGCUCUCUUUCACCUGUUUCUUUGACCUGAGAAAGCAGCAAAGCAAGACGCGUGAAUUCGGGGAUAUCUUGGCUAAAUUCCACAAGCAUGUGGCAUUGAAAUCUAUGUUGGUGGGCGGUGGACCUCAGCCGUAUUUAAUCCGAGGGAGGGAACGCCAUCCUCCAACCCCCCCAAAGAAAGAAGAAGAAAUGAAUUAGUCCAAACAGACAAUAUGUGUAUGUGUAGUGUGUGAAGAGAUGGAUGGAAAAGUCAACAGUGUCAUGGAGGUGGUGGUAGUCAAAGUUGGAGUGCUCAUGAUGUUUACAGAGCAAUCGUGCAUUCAAUGGAUGUGUGUGUGAUGGUGGUGGUGGUGAUUUCAAAGGUCGGAUGAGAGCAACGCACCAAGUGGAAUGGUCCCUUGAAGACAUAAAUUAUGAUAAGCUUUGUCCCAUCAAUUCUGGGGUCAUCUGCCUACGUUUUUGGGCCAUCUCAUUACUUCCCUUGUUCCUCCACAUGGGAGACCACCACCACCUCUGGGGAGGGGAUCCAAUAACUGCGGUCUCUCUCUCUCUCUGUCUGCCUCUCUCAGUUUCAUUGCACCUGGUUCUUGUUAUUUCCUUCGAGUUCAUUUUGCAGCAACUUUAAUCGAUUUGUAUGUAUUCUUCAAAAUGUUCACUGGGAGUUAAAAAGAUGAUGUGGUUGCCAUUUCUUUAGGCAAAUUAAAUCC